AUGGAUUUUGAUGCAUCUGAUGUUCCAUUUGCUACAAGAGUUGAGUCAAAUUUUGGUGAUCAUUUUGGCUCUGAGUUUGCUCAUGAACUUGUGGAUCUUGUUCAGGCCAGACAUCAAGAGAAGCCUAAGAUUUUUGUUGAAUGUUCAGAGUCUCUCAUUGUUGAUGUAUUGAAUUGUGUGUUGCAAUCUUCUUUUCUUGCAAACAUUCAUGCUUCCGUGGAAGUUUUUGGCAGUGAGAAUCAUUCACUGAGCAAGUUCUCAUUUGAGUGUUUCUAUUCAAUCUGCUAUCCCCAAUACAAAGUCUGUGAGAUUUGA
rnacentral:rRNA from 1 species